GAUGAACGCUAGCGGCAGGCUUAAUACAUGCAAGUCGAGGGGCAGCACAGGGUAGCAAUACUUGGGUGGCGACCGGCAAACGGGUGCGGAACACGUACACAACCUUCCUGUAAGUGGGGGAUAGCCCAGAGAAAUUUGGAUUAAUACCCCGUAAUAUUAUGAUGUGGCAUCACAUUAUAAUUAUAGCUGAGGCGCUUAUAGAUGGGUGUGCGUCUGAUUAGGUAGUUGGUGGGGUAACGGCCCACCAAGCCAACGAUCAGUAGCUGAUGUGAGAGAAUGAUCAGCCACACGGGAACUGAGACACGGGCCCGACUCCUACGGGAGGCAGCAGUAAGGAAUAUUGGUCAAUGGACGCAAGUCUGAACCAGCCAUGCCGCGUGAAGGAUUAAGGUCCUCUGGAUUGUAAACUUCUUUUAUAGGGGGCGAAAAAGGGUCUUUCUAGAUCAACUGACGGUACCCUAUGAAUAAGCACCGGCUAACUCCGUGCCAGCCGCCGCCGUAACAC
rnacentral:rRNA from 1 species